CUUGGGAAAACAAGUCUGUUUGCCCAAUUUGGGUCAUAUUUCCACGUCCAUGUUACUCAGGCAUGAUUCAUCUGCAAGUUAUGUGUAUAGAUAUUUUGCUACUGUUCCACCCUUACGCUGUGCUGGGGAGGGAGGUGUCACUGUGAGCUGUGUCGGUGCCUUAAGAGAUAUCUGUUGUGUCUUAUUACUUGGUUGCUUUUCCCCACAUGUACAAUGACAAAAAUGCCUUCAACCUAUUUGAUCCAGCCGUUCCAGUACAACUCCUAUACUUGCCAUCUUUCCAAGCCCAAAGCUAUAGUUCCUCAUGGUCCUGCACUCCAUGGACUAAAUUAUGAUGAAACUGAAACACAAAAAAUUUAGAUUAACUCUUAGGUGACAAAGCCAGGAUUGAAGCUCAUGCGGUCUGGCUCCAGAACAACUCUUCUUCAUAGUUACGUUAUACUGCCCCUGCAUUGUUGGUAUUGAAAAUAACUGAUACCGUGCUUCCAGAAGAUUUUUCUAACAGUGUUUGCAAGCUAUAAAAUAGUGCUUUCACUUAGAAAAGGCUAGACGUGGUGGUUCAUGCCUGUAAUCCCAGCACUUUGAGAGGCCGAGGCACCAUGCUGGGAGAUAAGGAUCCAACAUAAGACAAACAGUGCUGAUGCUUUUGGAAAGCUCAUAUUCAAGCUGGGGAGACAAACAACAUACAAGUGGCUGUAGCUACCUUCUGCAUAUGGAUAUCCAGUUUUCCCAGCACCACUUAUUAAAGAGACUGUCUUUUCUGCAGUGUAUAUUCUUGGCACCGUUGUUGAAAAUGAAUUCAUUGUAGGUGUGUGGGUUUGUUUCUGGGUUCUCUAUUCUGUUCAACUUGUCUAUGUGUCUGUUUUUAUGCCAGUACCGUGUCAUUUUAGU
rnacentral:lncRNA from 1 species